rnacentral:rRNA from 1 species
UUAGUGCGGAACGGGUGAGUAAUACAUAAAAUAACCUGCCCCGAUGUCUGGAAUAACAGUUGGAAACGAUUGCUAAUGCCGGAUAUGAUAUUUGGAAGCAUUUCCUAAUAUUGAAAGAUGGGAUACAUCGCAACGGGAUGGAUUUAUGGCGCAUUAGUUAGUUGGUGAGGUAACGGCUCACCAAGACGAUGAUGCGUAGCCGGCCUGAGAGGGUGACCGGCCACACUGGGACUGAGACACGGCCCAGACUCCUACGGGAGGCAGCAGUGGGGAAUAUUGCACAAUGGGCGCAAGCCUGAUGCAGCGACGCCGCGUGGGGGAUGACGGCCUUCGGGUUGUAAACUCCUUUCGCCAGGGACGAAGCGUUAUAGUGACGGUACCUGGAUAAGAAGCACCGGCUAACUACGUGCCAGCAGCCGCGGUAAUACGUAGGGUGCAAGCGUUGUCCGGAAUUACUGGGCGUAAAGAGCUCGUAGGUGGUUUGUCACGCCGUCUGUGAAAGUCCAGCGCUUAACGCUGGGAUUGCAGGCGAUACGGGCUGACUUGAGUGCUGUAGGGGAGACUGGAAUUCCUGGUGUAGCGGUGAAAUGCGCAGAUAUCAGGAGGAACACCAAUGGCGAAGGCAGGUCUCUGGGCAGUGACUGACGCUGAGGAGCGAAAGCAUGGGUAGCCAACAGGAUUAGAUACCCUGGUAGUCCAUGCCGUAAACGGUGGGCGCUAGGUGUGGGGACCUUCCACGGUUUCUGCGCCGUAGCUAACGCAU